rnacentral:rRNA from 1 species
CAAGUCACGGGGGCCCGCAAGGGCAACCGGCGAACGGGUGCGUAACACGUGAGCAACCUGCCUUUGUGUGGGGGAUAGCCGGGCUAACGCCCGGGUAAUACCGCAUACGGUUCUCGAGAGGAGUCUCUUGGGAAAGAAACCUCCGGGGCACGAAGAGGGGCUCGCGGCCUAUCAGCUAGUUGGCGGGGUAAUGGCCCACCAAGGCGACGACGGGUAGCUGGUCUGAGAGGAUGGCCAGCCACAUUGGGACUGAGAGACGGCCCAGACUCCUACGGGAGGCAGCAGUGGGGAAUCUUGCGCAAUGGCCGAAAGGCUGACGCAGCGACGCCGCGUGUGGGAGGACGCCUUUCGGGGUGUAAACCACUGUUGCCCGGGACGAACAUCCCUUUUCGAGGGGACUGACGGUACCGGGUGAGGAAGCACCGGCUAACUCCGUGCCAGCAGCCGCGGUAAUACGGAGGGUGCGAGCGUUGUCCGGAAUCAUUGGGCGUAAAGGGCGCGUAGGUGGCGGGACAAGCGUGCGGUGAAAGCUCGGGGCUCAACCCCGAGUCGGCCGUGCGAACUGUUUUGCUUGAGCACUGUAGAGGCAGGCGGAAUUCCGGGUGUAGCGGUGGAAUGCGUAGAGAUCCGGAAGAACACCGGUGGCGAAGGCGGCCUGCUGGGCAGUAGCUGACACUGAGGCGCGACAGCGUGGGGAGCAAACAGGAUUAGAUACCCUGGUAGUCCACGCCGUAAACGAUGGGCACUAGGCGCUUGGGGGAGCGACCCCCCGAGGGCCGGCGCUAACGCAUUAAGUGCCCCGCCUGGGGAGUACGGCCGCAAGGCUGAAACUCAAAGGAAUUGACGGGGGCCCGCACAAGCGGUGGAGCAUGUGGUUUAAUUCGACGCAACGCGAA